rnacentral:rRNA from 1 species
UCCUACGGAGGCAGCAGUAAGGAAUAUUGGUCAAUGGACGAAAGUCUGAACCAGCCAUGCCGCGUGAAGGAUGAAGGUCCUCUGGAUUGUAAACUUCUUUUAUCUGGGACGAAAAAAGGGAAUUCUUUCUCACUUGACGGUACCAGAAGAAUAAGCACCGGCUAACUCCGUGCCAGCAGCCGCGGUAAUA